UACAGAGGGUGCAAGCGUUAAUCGGAAUUACUGGGCGUAAAGCGCACGUAGGCGGCGAUUUAAGUCAGAGGUGAAAGCCCGGGGCUCAACCCCGGAAUAGCCUUUGAGACUGGAUUGCUUGAACAUCGGAGAGGUGAGUGGAAUUCCGAGUGUAGAGGUGAAAUUCGUAGAUAUUCGGAAGAACACCAGUGGCGAAGGCGGCUCACUGGACCGGCAUUGACGCUGAGGUGCGAAAGCGUGGGGAGCAAACAGGAUUAGAAACCCGGGUAGU
rnacentral:rRNA from 1 species